AACGAACGCUGGCGGCAUGCCUAACACAUGCAAGUCGAACGAGACCUUCGGGUCUAGUGGCGCACGGGUGCGUAACGCGUGGGAACCUGCCCUUAGGUUCGGAAUAACUCCCCGAAAGGGGUGCUAAUACCGGAUAAUGUCUUCGGACCAAAGAGUUAUCGCCUUUGGAUGGGCCCGCGUUGGAUUAGCUAGUUGGUAGGGAAAAAGCCUACCAAGGCGACGAUCCAUAGCUGGUCUGAGAGGAUGAUCAGCCACACUGGGACUGAGACACGGCCCAGACUCCUACGGGAGGCAGCAGUGGGGAAUAUUGCACAAUGGGCGGAAGCCUGAUCCAGCAAUGCCGCGUGAGUGAUGAAGGCCUUAGGGUUGUAAAGCUCUUUUACCCGGGAUGAUAAUGACAGUACCGGGAGAAUAAGCUCCGGCUAACUCCGUG
rnacentral:rRNA from 1 species